rnacentral:rRNA from 1 species
UACGAAGGGGGCUAGCGUUGCUCGGAAUCACUGGGCGUAAAGGGCGCGUAGGCGGCGUUUUAAGUCGGGGGCGAAAGCCUGUGGCUCAACCACAGAAUGGCCUCGAUACUGGGACGCUUGAGUAUGGUAGAGGUUGGUGGAACUGCGAGUGUAGAGGUGAAAUUCGUAGAUAUUCGCAAGAACACCGGUGGCGAAGGCGGCCAACUGGACCAUUACUGACGCUGAGGUGCGAAAGCUGGGGAGCAAACAGG